rnacentral:lncRNA from 13 species
GGAUUAUUGUGAGGGUAGCUAUACAAUAAAGAGAGCAUGUCAUGAAUAGCAUAUGAGCUACAAUAAGCAGUACAAUUUACUACAAAAAUAAUUGAUCAAUUGUGUUAAUUUCAUGCCUUUAAAAUGUAUAAUGCACCAUCACUCUAAACUCUUGUGACCAUAUCAUGUAUGUAUACAUUGAGUUGUUUGUUUGGCUGUUGUUGUUAUAUUCUACCUUUCUGUGCAUUCUUUCUGUUCUCUAUUACCGUGGAACAAAUAUCCAGAAUGCCAAUCAACUCUGGCAAGUCCCCUAGAGCCAGAUUAAAUGAGGUGAAUGUGUAUCAUUCAAUGGAAAUACCUGUCCACUCUUCUCACAGGAUAGAAGCAGCACGACGAGACUGGACUCUGUAACCCUGUAGGCUGGUGAAGGAGGAGAUGAAGACACAACACGAAGGUUCUAAUCUCAGAGGAUGUGGGCCAGAGCAGUGUGGAUGGAAAAUGAGAAGGAAGUAGAAGGUAUUAUUCAGGGCACUGGAUCAAAGACUGUGUGGUGGCCCCCAAAUAAAUAGGACAAAGCAAGAAAGGAUUGGUCCACAACCUCUUCUGAUGAGAAAACUGACAUCAGCCUCACCCCACUUCGAAAUCACCGAAGCCAGUGAAGUAGAGAAGACCCCCCCCCCAAGAGAAACCAAAAGAAAACUACAUUCAAAGAAUGUAUAACUGGUAUGUUGAAACACACAUUAACAGUUUGUGUACAUUAAACUUACUUGCCAUUUUUUUCCCCUCUGUAUAUUGUUGUAUAUUUAGAAUUUCAUGAUUAAUGCAACCUCCCACCGCCAGCCGCUACUGCCUCCAAGUUAUGCCAAGGUUUACACCCCACCGAAAUAUGCUCCGAAACACUAGAAAACCUGUGCCACUGCUACCAAGAAGCAAAAGGCUAAAACGCAGCACAAAGCCACCAACUAAUGACAGUGAGGACGACCCUUCACAAUAUAUCUCAGAUCUCAAAGCUGGAGGGGAAAGACAUCCCGGACCGGGUGAAGAGAACAAUGCAUCGGUAAACUAUUACCAUAUUUCCUUUUUUCAUUAUACAUGACAUUUAAAUACCUUCUCUGACUAAUAUUUGUUUUCCCCCUUUACAGCAGGUGUGCAUCUUGGUGAAUCAAAGGCUACAGAGUUAGAAAUACUACAUGUGAUGUCAACCUGCCUGAAAUAUGCACCUGACAGCACAGGGGGCAGUGGGAGGGCCAAUGAGGAAGGAGAUGAAAGAGUUCUUACGAAGUUUAAAGCAUCAAAGCCUUUUCCGACAGUGACGUUUUGGGGUUUAUUUUAUAUCUAAUUUGUGUUUUCACAGAAGCCUGUGCCAGAAAUGCAUUUUUAAAAAAUAAUAAUUUAAUGGCUUGUACAUCUACAUUGUGGUGCAAUUUUUUUCUUCUUAAUUUAAACCAUUCUUGACUUUGACAAAAUACAUUUGCAUAAGAGUUUUUACAUGGACAAAGGUUUACACAAUGCUUUUGUUGUUGUUUCUGUUGGCUAUUGUCACAAAAUGACAAUAGCCAACAGUAGUAUGGACCCUAAGUCUGGAACAUGUUGCACCAUGUGUAGAACUGUAUUAUACAUAUCAGGGUGCUGUUCAAGAGUGUUCAGAAUCAGAAGGGUCCUGGUUGAUGCAGUUCGUUUUCCUAUUCUUAGCUCAGGCUCUUAUCCUUAUUUAAUGUAAAGAAGCCUACAUCAACAAAUGGCAACUACUUCUAAACAUCUAAUCAACGCACUUCAUGGAUUGGUCAUAAUCCCUGUUGAAUUCAUGGUGUGUUUAGGUCAAAUCAGAUCAAUGUGUUUUCAACCUCAUCCCAAUAUUUAAAUGUAGUUGAUUAUUAGUUGAGUAUAGUAUAUAAACCCUAAAGUACUGGAAAUACAAAAAUAACUGUUGGCAGUCUUUUUCAGUGGGUGAAUAAAGGCUGAAAUCUCAUUGAUCAACGUCUCAACCAUAUAUUGCCCAAUUUUCCACGUUGAAAUGACAUGGUGUCCCCAGUGCGGUGGGUCUGCACCCCUCUGACCUCUACACCCUCACUGCUGCCAGCCCUACACCCCUUGCCCCAAACCCCUCACUACACAAAUAUACAGCAGGGUCUCUAGGCUUGUUUUCCUCCCUCUUCCUCCUGGUGCCUUCACCAGGCCUGAUGCCCUUGACUUUGUGCUUGUCUAGGAUGCAAAUUCACAGAGGUUAGGAUAAUAAACAGCGCUAAUGGGCUAGGGCUCGGAGGAGGCCACACUUCCUGCCUCCCCAAACAGGCUCCUGGGAGAAAUCACAACAGAGACACAGAGGGGGGGGAGGGGGGGGGGGACAGGCAGGCAGGAGGACUUAGAAAUGUAAUGCAUGACUUACCCGCCAGGUCAGGAAGGAGACCUCGUCUAGCAUCUCCCUCUGAGUAAUCUCUAUUAGAGCCUCUGCUCCUUUCUUUCUUUUCUGCUCAUUAACGUUUAAAAAAAAGAGCUUUCACCACUUUCACUGCCUUUGUAUCUUUUGUGCUGUGUGAGUUCGCCAGAGUUCGUACUUAAAGCCCGUUUGUGCUUUCCUAUUCAGGCAACAUCACACAACAGCUCCACAGUAUUUCAAUCUGGAGUUAAUAUCAUGUCUGAAUAAAAUAUCAGACAAGCUUUGAGCCAGCUAUGCAAAGUCCCUAUGUUCUUUGUGUGGGUGGGUGGAGAAGAUGGGAAUCAAUGCACAUGCUUGUCAGUCUUUGUGGUGCUGAUGGCUGCUCCAGCAUGUUGAGGUUGUGGGGUUAUGAGGGGGGUUAUAUGGUGGAUCAACCACAGUUCUUUCUGGGGUUUUGGCAGAUGCACCAUGCAGUCUGUGUUGGUCCCAUUAGACAUUUGGCUGAAUAGUCACUCUGUGAUCAUUAACACAAAAGAUCAUUAGGAUUCCUGAGAUACCUCGACACAGGGGAAAAACCCAGCAGCUGAACAGAGCAGCCUCAACAACACAGAGCGGGGACUUGGCCAAGUUCAAACGAACUACAGAAACCUCUCAGUGGGCAAUUAAGGCUCUCCAACUUUUAUUUUUUUCUCUGGCGACCAGAUCUGGCCCUGCUAGAGGAGGGAGGGAGUCUCUGGUGUGUGGAAGAUGAUGGGAAGGAUGGAAAGGGGGCACCAAGUUCUGCCCCAGUUAAAGAGAAGAGAAGGGGGUCAGCGGUGUGAGAGGAAGA